rnacentral:rRNA from 1 species
GACGAACGCUGGCGGCGUGCUUAACACAUGCAAGUCGAACGGAAAGGCCCCUUUGGGGGUACUCGAGUGGCGAACGGGUGAGUAACACGUGAGUAACCUGCCCUUGACUUCGGGAUAACUUCAGGAAACUGGGGCUAAUACCGAAUAGAAAUCCUUGCGGCAUGGUGGGGGUUGGAAAGCUUCGGCGGUUUUGGAGGGACUCGCGGGUUAUCGGCUUGUUGGUGGGGUAGUGGCUUACCAAGGCUUUGACGGGGAGCCGGCCUGAGAGGGCGACCGGCCACACUGGGACUGAGGGAAGGCCCAGACGCCGAAGGGAGGAAGAAGUGGGGAAGCUUGCACAAGGGGCGGAGGCCGGAUGCAGAAAGGCCGCGGGCUGGAAGACGGCCUUGGGGUUGGCAAACGGGUUCAGCAGGGGCGAAGCUUGUGGUGACGGUACCUGCAGAAGAAGCACCGGCUAACUACGUG